CGAAGGGGCUAGCGUUGUUCGGAUUUACUGGGGCGUAAAGCGCACGUAGGCGGAUCGAUCAGUCAGGGGUGAAAUCCCAGAGCUCAACUCUGGAACUGCCUUUGAUACUGUCGAUCUGGAGUAUGGAAGAGGUGAGUGGAAUUCCGAGUGUAGAGGUGAAAUUCGUAGAUAUUCGGAGGAACACCAGUGGCGAAGGCGGCUCACUGGUCCAUUACUGACGCUGAGGUGCGAAAGCGUGGGGAGCAAACAGGAUU
rnacentral:rRNA from 1 species